UACGGAGGGUGCGAGCGUUGUCCGGAAUCAUUGGGCGUAAAGGGCGCGUAGGUGGCCCGGUCAGUUCGUGGUGAAAGUGCGGGGCUCAACCCUGCGUCGGCCAUGAAUACUGCCGCGGCUGGAGCACUGUAGAGGCAGGCGGAAUUCCGGGUGUAGCGGUGGAAUGCGUAGAGAUCCGGAAGAACACCGGUGGCGAAGGCGGCCUGCUGGGCAGUGGCUGACGCUGAGGCGCGACAGCGUGGGGAGCAAACAGG
rnacentral:rRNA from 1 species